rnacentral:rRNA from 1 species
GAUUAAAGCCCCUUCGGGGGUGUAUAAAGUGGCGAACGGGCGAGUAAUGCGUUCCUAACGUACCCCAGGGUCGGGGAUAGCUCAGGGAAACUUGAAUUAAAACCCGAUGACCUCAGCGCACCGCAUGAUGUGCUGAGCAAAGGCUUGCCGCCCUGGGAUCGGGGAACGUGCUAUCAGGUUGUUGGUGAGGUAAAGGCUCACCAAGCCUAAGACGGCUAGCGGGUGUGAGAGCACGGCCCGCCGCAUCGGGACUGAGACACUGCCCGGACUCCUACGGGAGGCUGCAGUAACGAAUAUUCCGCAAUGCGCGAAAGCGUGACGGAGCAAUGCCGCGUGUGGGAUGAAGCCCCUUGGGGUGUAAACCACUGUCAGGGUUUAGCAACACAAUGAGCAGACCCAGAGGAAGGGCCGGCUAACUCUGUGCCAGCAGCCGCGGUAAUACAGAGGGCCCGAGCGUUAAUCGGAAUCACUGGGCUUAAAGCGUGCGUAGGCGGACCCGCAAGUACUUUGUGAAAUCCCACGGCUCAACCGUGGAACUGCUUGGUAGACUGCGGGUCUUGAGGUCGGUAGAGGCUGUCGGAACUCUAGGUGGAGCGGUGAAAUGCGUAGAUAUCUAGAGGAACGCCCAUGGCGAAGGCAGGCAGCUGGGCCGAACCUGACGCUCAGGCACGAAAGCGUGGGUAGCGAACGGGAUUAGAUACCCCGGUAGUCCACGCCGUAAACGAUGUGCACUAGAUUGUGGCGGUUCUGACACCGUGGCAGUCGAAG